GAUUUCUGCAUUCUGAGGAGGAGGGGCUAGCGAUGGUCUGUCGAGUCAGACCACUUAAAGGCACCAUCGCUCAGAAAAUGAGGAAAGAAGGUAAUCUGAAGUUGGCCCCCCUUGAAAGUGAAAUGCCCCCCUCCAGGUGCUGAUCUGGAUUCGGCCCUGAUUUGGUGCACUGUUGUUGGCUACAACAACAGCAGUGUUUGUGAAAAAGGUAAAGGAUCUCUUAGGAUGGGCCCAUGGAAUGGAACUCAAGGGAACUUGGAAAGCCAGGCAUAUGACUGGUGGCAGCUGAAGCGUCAGGUGCCGAAUUGGCAGUAGCCUCCAAGCAGUGACGAUAAAGUGGGGGUUCAGACAACUACCAGUAGACUCACAGUGGGUACAGGUGUGAAGUCUGGCUGAGGUGAGAUGUAUGCUGAUGAGGGGCCAAGCAGCAAAGUAGACCUCGACUCGCAGGACCCUGCUGCACCCCUCCCCUGACAACCCCCUCCUGAAAGGUCUCAGAAACACCUUCCAGGUCAACUGGGUCCCCCUAGCCAACUCCUCAGAAUCAGGGUCUGGGACCUGGGCUGAGUGAAUAGAAGCUGCAGCCAAGCAAAGGAAGGCUGGUGAGACAGACACAGGUGUGCAGGCAGGAGCCGACGAAGCAGCGAUGAUCAUGAUCGAGCAGGCAGGUGAGCAGGCAGUAGCCAAUGAACUGAUUACGGCUGCAGGUGUGCAGGUAGGAGUUUGAGGCGACGGCUACGGGUGAGCAAGCAGGCGAGCAGGCAGAAGCCAUCGGGGAGAGAACAGCCUCAGGCAAGCAGGCAAAAGCUGAUUGGGUGACGAUGGUCUCGGGAGCCAGGGAUCGACUGGGCAGCCGCAGGCUGGGCCGGAGCCAUCUGGACGACAGCCGCAGGCAGGCAGGCAGGCAGGAGCAGGCAUGACUGCUGGUGACUACAUGACAGGAGCAGGCAUGACUGCUGGCACCUGCAAGGUAGGACCCACUGGUGGUGGGUGCAGCACAGCCCUCUGGCAGCAGACGCAGGAUGGUGAGACUCUCUGGUAGCCAGCUCAGCGGGGACCUCAGGUGGUGAGCUAAGCACAGGGGGAAUCUCUGGUGGUCGGACAAGGAGGAACUGGGACUUCAACAUCAGACAUUAAUGGAGCAACGGGAGCCUCACCUUCGCUGGGCAUGGUGGUGAAGGACGCCAAUGAAGUGGGUAGCAGCGAUGAGAGCAUGUGGGGAGAAGGAAUGGUCUCACCGUGGUCCACACAAGGUGUCCCUAGAUUCAAGGAAGUCGCCUGCACAGGAGGCUGCUUUUUCCCCCCAUCUCCAACUCCUUAGUCUUGGGGCAGUGGAAUGAGCCGUGGUGAGCCUUUCCUUCUCUGGAAACAAGGAUUUGGCUUGUCGGGGAGGCUGAGAGUGGCUCGGAGUCAAAGGCAGGAGAACCGGAAUCCUGGUUCACUGAUCUUUCCAGGAGAAGCACCUUUUUCAGAUUUUCUGCAAUUUUGAGGUUGGGGAUAUGGUCACCAACCCCUGGUCCUUCCGUUCCAGCAAGGCAGCGGCCUCGAGUGACACCUGCACUGGAGGUCUGCAAAUACCCAAGGCAGGAGCAGCUUGAUGCGACGAAGAAGGGACAGGCAAAGUGCAGAGUGGCUUUGCUUUGCAAGAGAAUGGUAAACAGACCUGUUUCGUGUUGUGAGGGUGUAGCAGGCUGAGCAGCUUUGAGUCACUAGGAGGCAGCAGGGUGGGUGGCUUCACUUUUGCAGGCGUGGGCUGAGAAGUCCAGCAUGUCCUCAUCUUCCCCAGUCAUCUGCUGCCAGAGGCACCCUGGACUCCAAUAUAGGUCGACUCCUUCUCCAGAGGAGGGGCUCCCAUUCUUUCUAUGGUUCCUUAGGAUCAUCUUCAGACAAUUCAGAACAGAGCGGGUUUUUCACGUGUCUGUUGGAUGUUAAAGAUGCACGUUCAAAUUGCUGGCUUGGUGUUGGGGCAAGGUGGCAGGUCCGCAGAGAGACCCCCGAAGGAUCUCCCGUACAGCUGAUGGGUCCUUUGGUCAGUUUAACCUUUCUGUCAAGGUACGACCCAAAUGCAGGCUGCUUUUAAACAGAACCCACUUAGAUGAUAUUUAUUAAGAUAAACAGGACAGUUUAAUAAAUGCUGAUGGGUUACAAUGGCUGAACAGGGAGUACAAAACUAAGAGAUGCUAAUAUACAUGACUAACAAAGGAGCAAACACAAGGCAGCUGUAAAUGAUUAACAGGAGGGCAGGAACGAGAGGUAAGAUUAACAAGCCCCAGGUGCUUAGAGACACACCCAAGGGGAAACGCAGGGAUCAGACAGGCGGGGUGGGCUGGAUGCGACACCCAUGAUAAAAGGUGACAAUACUGCCCCCAAGAUUUUUUGUGGUACUGCAUCUCAUGUUACUUCCUCGCGUAGGUGCACAAAGGACACCUGAAAUCAAGGCAGGAAACGCAUGGAGGCCAUGAUGCUUACGUGGCUAUGAUGUGUCAUGAGUGUCAAGUAUACCCCUCCCCUAAAAUGCUAGGUAGUUGCUAAGGUGUUAAUAGGUUAGGGUUAGGUGUCUAUGGUGAUUGCUGUCAUGUCAUUAUGCUAUUCAAGGUGGUUACUAAGGUGUUGCUUGGUGGUUGCCAAAGUAGUUAAGGUGGUUGCAAACAGGUGAGAGCUAGUUUGGGAUGAGUAUCUCAAAAACUGUAGAAGAAGCAUGAAAGAAAAUUACUGCAUAAGAAUAACAAUUACACUACGUAUCAUUCUACUGGAAAUACAGCAUUGCAUACUACUGUUUAUCUCAUACAGGGUUGCAGCAAGCCUAGAUUCAGUGCCAGAAAACGCAUGGCGCAAGGCAGGGUACAUCCAGUAUUAGAUGCAUAGGCAAACUCUUCAAUCAUUUCAUAAUUUUGCCAUCUUAUGCAUUUUAAGUAAGCGGUACAUGAUUUGCAGGGCCAUGGCCUUUUGUCAGUUAAAGAAGAUGACACUGAUAAUUACAGCAAUUACAGCAUAACAGCAAUUACAGCAAAUAUUAGUCUUAAUAGAGUUUGAAUAAUAUACUGCUUUUGAACUGCCAAUGGCCUGUUUAAUGAUUUCAUUGGCUUGAAAACUAUUCUUACACAUUCAUUCAAACAGGUUUUGAUUGCAUACAUUGUACUGUUUUUUAUAUUUGCAAGACUUUUGUCAGAAAUGAAAAUAAAGGCAUGAACAGAAUUAUGUAGUCCAGCUAAAGGGUACUGACAGUUUUUCAUCUAUGGAAGUGGAGCAGGACUGAGAUCAGGCUCACAAACAGUUUUGCAGGUACGCUGAGUUCUCAUAAUCUUCACUCUCACUGCUUGAGGAUGCACAGUCGGGCAGUCUGGACACAUUGAUGUAGUCAUCCUCAUCACAAAGUGACUCCUCCUGAUUCUUGACCUCUAACUCAAUGUUGAUGUAAUCUUGGCUACCCUCCUCAUUUGCCCCAUUGAUGUAGUCUGCUUCUGAAUCUGAGUCUUCUGGUCGCUGAUUAUGGUAUGUCGUGAGGGCCACUGCAUGAAGAGGCCAAAUGCAUCAGUCUUCUCUCAUUCAUAAAGACGAACUAUGACAGCAAACUUGAGGAAAUGCAAAUACCACGGGAAUUUGCAUUAAACAGUAUUAAUACUGGAAUGAAGAACUGCAGCAUACAAUGAACUUGCAAAAGAGAAUAUAUAUAAAAACAUGAUAUUUAAUGAAUAGCUUAUUCAUACCUGGUUCUGAUUGUGUCUUGGUCCUGCAAGCCAGGGUGAGGGCCACAAUAAUGAGACAGACUAACACAAUAAAGCCUGCUGCUGCUCCACUGACUAUAAGUACCAUAUUGGGCUCUGAAAACAGACACAUACAACUUAUUUAACCUACAGAAUUAAUGUACCAUUACAGGCUUAUAGAGACACAACAGAGAGGAACGUACAAUUAAGUUAUAUCAUAUUGAACAGGAUUGUAUAUGUAUCAUAUGUAUUAAGUGUAAUAAACCAGUGAUAAGAACCGUGACAAAACUAAAAAUAAAUACAUUUCAGCAACCGAAGACGGUCAAUUGCAGACAAAAACCACUUAUUUACUUAUAAAAUUGGAUAUAUCUGUUUAAUACAUUUGAAAAACACUGUUGCAUUUCAUAUCUCACCAUCUUCAGGAAUCCCAAUGAUAGUGGAAUAAACAGUGGUAUAGCCUUUGAGAAAGAAACAGCAUUCUAAAUUACAAUCAGCAGAAUGAAACUUCUGUGUCUGUGAAAUGUCUGUGAUAUCCUGCUCGUCCGAUCCUCCUGUGUGCCACGCCCCCUCAUUCACCACGUGCGCAGUCCCGAUUGUGGCCAGCUGUUUCCUAUUACUUCGAUUUGUCCUGUGUAUUUACAUCCGCGUUCAGUCAGUCUCCCUAGAUCCGUCAUUGAAGUCUUACUGCGUGGUGUUGCUGUGUGUUGCCUGUUUCAUGGCCCACCUCCCGUUCACCAUUAAAUCCCUUAUUCCCCAGA